UCCUCCCUCGUCCCCCCAGCCCUUGGCGCCUUUCCUCCUCCCCUUGCAGAAAGGGUGGAAGUUUCCAGGCUGUCGGGCCUUAGAGCCGCGCUGCUCCCUCCCUGCAAGGCAGUAGGGUGCUGCUGCGGGCACCUAGGCCAGGGCACUCCCCCCCCCCCGGGGUCUGUCUUGCUGCCUGAGGUGCCAGCUCUGAGCAGGGUCCAAGCUAGCAGAGGCUCUACCAUCAUCGAUUUAAACACAGGUUGUUAAGACCCAGAUUUCCACCUGGAGUCAGCAUCCAGAAUCACAAGAACAGGAAUUUCUUUAAUAUCAACCAGUUAUGUUCCAAAUCCAAGAUGAUCUUCAGUAUGCUGACAGUUGUGUCACGUGUGCCCACUCAAGAGCUCUAGUUUACCUUUGAUUGCUUCUGUGAAGCAUAUGGAAUGCUUGGACUCACUGUCAGCUUCAUGAAAACCAAGAUACUUGACCAACACACUCCAGACCAACAAUAAGGCAUUGAUUAUGUCUAGCAAACUUAUCUCACUAUGGUGGCAGAUAGAGGAGACAAAGGAAAAUAGCUUUGACUCAGCAUCACCAGGAUCUACUCCUUGCUUCCAUAACUAUGCUACAUCUGCAGGUGAACAUGCAUAUUGGAUCAGCCUCCUCAGUUAUGUACAGACUCAUCAAUAACUCCCCUCUACUAUAUGAGGACAACAGUCUCUCAGAGGGACUGCUGAUGACCAAAAUCAGUAUUUCAACUAAACUUAGUAUUUUUUUUCUAACUGAGAAAAAUAUGUUUAUUCAUAUUCUCAGUUCUUACCUAUAUUACAAAAUGAUAGGUGAUGCUUUUAUUUUUUUACUAUAACUGUAUUAAAUGUUAUUUCUACUUGUUACUUAUGUCAAGCUCUAGUUCAAUGGAAAGGAACUCAAGUGCAAGAGGAUUUUUAAUUUUUUUUAUUAGGUAGAAUUAAUUUAAAUGUUCUGAAUACAUAUUAAAAUAUGUUUGUGUUUGCAUUUAAAGCAUUUAAUAAUCAAAAGAAGUAUUAUUAAUACUGUGGUAAUUGAAAUGAUUGUUCCUGAUUGCUGUGUCCUUCAAGAUUAAGAGCUGUUAGAGCUCGUCUUCUAACAACCAGCUUCUACUCGGAGACUAGAAGAAAACAUGCUAUCCUCCUUUUUCAAUUCUCAGUCAGUUUUGUUGGCUCUGAAUUUUGAAUUGAACUAAGUAAACUAAAAUAAAAUAGUCUCUGCACCUGUAAAAUAGACUAUUGCUACUUCUUGUUUAGUACUUCAUUUUAGCUGAUUAAUCUGUGAUUUCUGACAGUAUUAUGACUUCCUUUGAGCAAGCAUGUACUUUUUAUUUGUUGUUUAAUUUAAAUUAUUUUAAUUACUUUUGAUAUGUUUAGGGCCUAGCAUAGGUUGCUAUAAUUUCAGGUAUUAUAGGUUACUAUAAUUUUAAAUGGAUUUACUUAUUUAAAAGAGAAAAUAUUUUAAUAAAUCUGAUUUGGAGCUUUUUAUUAAAAAUUGAUUAUCAGUUACUCUGGAAACGGUAUGGAAUCAUAAGUCAAAUUGCACUUGCAGUGUGAUUUUGAUGCAGUUGAUGGGAGUACAAAGCUUUUCUAAAGAUAAACUGUAGUUGCCUUUGGGGUGUGCAAAGCGACUGAUACUUGAAAGUAGAGAAGUGUUUAUAUCCUGUUUCUAACUAUUGUUACAGAGAGCAAAAAAUUACUGUAGACAGACAUGUUAAUUAUUAAAUGAAUGAGGAAAAAAAGAAUUUCAGAAUCUACACGCUAACACACUCUUUUAUUACCCAACUCCCUCCCCCCUACCACCCUGAGUUCUACCUCCCAAAGCCUCUCGUGCUGUUCACUGACCAUCUCUUUUCCUUCUUCAGCCAAGAUAAGACUGACAACUCCCUGCAUGUUAAGUUACUGUCGGUAUUCCAUUGUCAAUUUUGUCUCUGCCAGAUGUUAUUACUUAGUGCAUCAGAACCAAACCAAAGUCUGUAUUUGUUGCAUCUUUGAUUUACUCUCAUAUGAGUUAAUUCUUUGGUGGAAAUACAGUCAGAUUUGAAAGGGCUUUGAUUUGGGUCAGUGUUGAUUUACAUAUGGCAGGAGUCAAUGGGCUUGCAUUUUCUUUCACUAACCCUUAAUUGUAGAUUGAAAUGUAUUGGUUGCCUCUCAGCUGUCCUAUAUCAGGUAGAACAUUCAAUAGCUGAACUAUCUUUCUGUUGUUCUCCUGGAGAACUCCACUUGACACCUCUUUACAGAUGCACGUUUGAUCAUUAAUAACUACUCACUGAGCACAGUGAUCCAACUAGUUUUGUAUCCACCUUACAGAAGUUUUGUCUAGUCUGCAUUUCCUUCCUUAGAAUGUUGUGGGAGACAAUGUCAAAAGCCUUGCUAAAAUCUCAUCCACUGUUCUCCUUCCAUCAAUAUAACCUGUUACCAUAGAGGAAAUCCAGAUGGGUUUGGCAUGACUUGUUCUUGAAGAAUACAUGCUGGCUGUUUCUGAUCAGCGUUUUCUACCGCAGGUGCUCAGAAAUAGACUCCUUGAUGAACUGCCCCAUAAUCUUUCCUGGUACAGAUAUCAGACUGACUGUUCCGUAAUUCUCCAGAUUCUCCUCCUUCCCUUUCUUAAACAUAGAUGCAUGUGGAUUCUCUUCCUACCCUUUUCCAGUCACCUGGGACUUCACCUCGCCUCUCCAAGUUCUCAAAGAUGAUAUUGAUAGUGCAGUGUCACUCCUGUGAAACUGUUGGGUGAUUAGUGACAGUUAGGACAUAUUUCUGAACAGUGAUGGCAAAAGAAGGUGGAAUGUUCUAGGAAAGUGACAGCAAGAACAGGCAGGCUCUUGACUAUAUACUGAUGAAGGCAAACAUUUGGAGACCUGCUUGCUCUGCAGGGUGAUGUUCGUGCUUAUUUAAGCUUGCAUGUUUAAUAGGAUAAAGCAUUUUUUGUGUUAUAUAGUAAGCAAAGGUCCCAUCUUGUUUAGAUAAGCUGAGUUAAGGGCCUGCUGGCCUAAGCUAAAAUUAGCAUGACCUUUAGCAUGGUUAUUUUUGUUAAGAAUGGUCUGGUGGAAGGGUCUAGUUCCUGUCUGGUAAAGGUCAAGUUCCUCUUUUAAAAUACUUUGCUUUUGAGAUGAGCAUGUGUGACUAAACUAAUUCUAUAGGCUUUUAAAUUGUAAACAAAUUAAUUAUAAAAAGGAACUUUGUGAUGUUAUACGCUAACAUUGCUCUAUAAAAUAUGCUGAAGCUCACAACAAAGCAAGGCUGGUAACGAAUAUCUUGUGUGGGUAACUGGUUAAGUUUUCUUAUCAUCCUAAUCAAUAAACCAGUUGAGAAGCUGUGCUGGAUUUGUCUUCUAAACAUUUAUUCAUGAAUUCAUCCAUAGUCAGUAGUGGUUUGCGAGGGAUUUCUUGGGUUAAUUCUCACCCCCUGUUCCAACUAUUAAUAAAAUGAGAAUAUUGGCCAGCCCACUUGCUCAGGAAGGCAAAGAGGAGAGCUGAAAUAUGGCAGUGAUCGGAAGGAAAAUGAUAGAAUAGAUGGGAUCUUUAGAACAGGUCAAAAAGAAAAAAAAAAUGGUGGCAAACCAAACCAAAACGUUUUUACAAACAUUUUUUCUAUUUUUAACAGUCUCAAGUCUUUUAUUAUCCCAAGUCCUGUAAGAUGAGCUAUUCAGAUAGGGUUACUGGAGGUCCCAUGGUCCACUCUGGACCAACUCUCGGAAUACAGUCAUAUUUUUAACUUUAUCGUUCAGUGAUUAAAAGAAUAAUUUUAGAUGGUAGGAGAACGCUAAUAACACAAAGAUGUACAAGAUUAUUGUCCUGCUUUGUUUUGUUUUUUAAUCACAGAUUUUUAAAAACAGAUCUAGACACUAAUAGUCCAGAGGAAUUUCCAAAAGAGCUCCAACAUGCAUUUUUAAAGCAUAAGCAUAAUAAAUAUAUAGCUACCACGCUACAAUAAAUUUGUCAUUCAAUUCGUUCUCGUUAACAUAGGCUGUUUCAAUGAAAGAUAUGUUGGCCUAUUUCAAUCAUGAAAAGCUGUUCUCUUCUGUCUGUACUCCCAAAGAUAAAGGAAUAGUCGAAAGAUCCAAUCUAAAUCCUUAAAAAGUAUCCACAAGCCAUGAUUGUGCUGUAACCCUUCUAUUACAUAAAUAGAAGUUUCCUUUACAGUGUCCUGUACAGUCAGCAUUUUACACCAAUAAAUCUCAAAUUGGCGCCAAUUGCUUAUGAUUGAAAAGCUAUCUAUUAUUUCUGCACUGGAACUGUAUAGAUGCAAAAGAAGAUGUGAUCCCUGAGUAGUUCACAAGCUAGGACAAGUAAUUGCCCGUUAUCAGGUACUUAUUUUCAAUACUAUGGUACAAUAAUUGUGAAUACUAAAGAGCCUGUUGCUAGAACGGUCACAAAAAAUAUAGUCCGUGAUCCAUACUUAAUGACCUGAAUCCAGGAUCCCAAAAACAGUUAUAUAAAGUUGUCUGGAAUUAGAUCAGUAUGUACAUUAAUAAUAAAUACAAACAUACAACAACACAAGGGUGUAGCAAAGUGGUUGACCAUUAUUAGAUUUUAGAUUAGGACAAACAAAAUAGAAAAAUCCCAGAUCAUCCACUUUACCUAAUAAGGCGCAGCCAAAUAACCACUUGAAAUCUGUUCUCCUUUAUAUAAACACUGCAGCAUUUCUGUAAAGACUUGAGUUCGGUAAGUGAUUAUUUUAUGGGUCAGCCAGUUUUGAAGAAGGAGUUUUUUCCGUGGGAUUAAGUGGGAAGUGUAUUUUGCUGCAAUUUGUCUUUGACAACAGCUCAGCAGUCACUUCAAUGUAAUAUUUUAUAGAUUGUUAAAAAGGGUGCUUAUGUUAAUAACAUGAAAUAAGUAUUUAUUAUCUAUUAAAAAGAGACUAAUAUUCUGGAUGGGAUACCAGAGUUUAUGAAUAACUGGGAUCUUAAAAGACCAGGAAUUAUGUAUUAUGAAAAGAUUGCAUUUCACAUCAGUGAAAUAUUCAUCACUUUGAAAAAAAUACCUAUUUCCAAAUCACUUUGAGUUAUUGCUUGUACUUAUAUUUAUAUAUGUUAAAAAUAGCUUCUAAUGGAAUGUUUCAUUGAUAACAGCAACUGUUUUAAAGAGUGUUUAGAGUGUUUUUCACUUAUACUGUAUAAAAAAGGAUUUAGUGCUUAA